rnacentral:rRNA from 1 species
UGGGGAAUUUUGGACAAUGGGCGAAAGCCUGAUCCAGCAAUGCCGCGUGUGUGAAGAAGGCCUUCGGGUUGUAAAGCACUUUUGUCCGGAAAGAAAUCCUUGGCUCUAAUACAGUCGGGGGAUGACGGUACCGGAAGAAUAAGCACCGGCUAACUACGUGCCAGCAGCCGCGGUAAUACGUAGGGUGCAAGCGUUAAUCGGAAUUACUGGGCGUAAAGCGUGCGCAGGCGGUUUGCUAAGACCGAUGUGAAAUCCCCGGGCUCAACCUGGGAACUGCAUUGGUGACUGGCAGGCUAGAGUAUGGCAGAGGGGGGUAGAAUUCCACGUGUAGCAGUGAAAUGCGUAGAGAUGUGGAGGAAUACCGAUGGCGAAGGCAGCCCCCUGGGCCAAUACUGACGCUCAUGCACGAAAGCGUGGGGAGCAAAACAGGAUUAGAUACCCUGGUAGUCCACGCCCUAAACGAUGUCAACUAGUUGUCGGGGUCUUCAUUGACUUGGUAACGUAGCUAACGCGUGAAGUUGACCGCCUGGGGAGUACGGUCGCAAGAUUAAAACUUAAAUGAAUUGACGGGGUC